rnacentral:rRNA from 1 species
GACGAACGCUGGCGGCGUGCUUAACACAUGCAAGUCGAACGGAAAGGCCCUGCUUUUGUGGGGUGCUCGAGUGGCGAACGGGUGAGUAACACGAGAGUAACCUGCCCUUGACUUUGGGAUAACUUAAGGAAACUGGGGCUAAUACCGGAUAGGAGCUCCUGCUGCAUGGGGGGGGUUGGAAAGUUUCGGCGGUUGGGGAUGGACUCGCGGCUUAUCAGCUUGUUGGUGGGGUAGUGGCUUACCAAGGCUUUGACGGGUAGCCGGCCUGAGAGGGUGACCGGCCACAUUGGGACUGAGAUACGGCCCAGACUCCUACGGGAGGCAGCAGUGGGGAAUAUUGCACAAUGGGCGGAAGCCUGAUGCAGCAACGCCGCGUGCGGGAUGACGGCCUUCGGGUUGUAAACCGCUUUCGCCUGUGACGAAGCGUGAGUGACGGUAAUAGGUAAAGAAGCACCGGCUAACUACGUG